rnacentral:rRNA from 1 species
GACAGAGGGUGCAAACGUUGCUCGGAAUUACUGGGCGUAAAGCGCGUGUAGGUGGUCACCCCAGUCGGAUGUGAAAGCCCAGGGCUCAACCCUGGACGUGCAUACGAUACUAGGUGACUGGAGUCUCGGAGAGGAUAGCGGAAUUCCCGGUGUAGAGGUGAAAUUCGUAGAUAUCGGGAGGAACACCAGUGGCGAAGGCGGCUAUCUGGACGAGUACUGACACUGAGACGCGAAAGCAUGGGGAGCAAACAGG